UGGGGAAUUUUGCGCAAUGGGGGAAACCCUGACGCAGCAACGCCGCGUGGAGGAUGAAAUCCCUUGGGAUGUAAACUCCUUUCGAUUGGGAAGAUUAUGACGGUACCAAUAGAAGAAGCCCCGGCUAACUUCGUGCCAGCAGCCGCGGUAAUACGAGGGGGGCAAGCGUUGUUCGGAAUUAUUGGGCGUAAAGGGCGCGUAGGCGGUUUGACAAGUCUGAUGUGAAAUCUCUGGGCUCAACCCAGAGUCUGCAUUAGAAACUGUCGGGCUUGAGUAUGGGAGAGGUGAGUGGAAUUUCCGGUGUAGCGGUGAAAUGCGUAGAUAUCGGAAGGAACACCUGUGGCGAAAGCGGCUCACUGGACCAUAACUGACGCUGAGGCGCGAAAGCUAGGGGAGCAAACAG
rnacentral:rRNA from 1 species